AGGUUUUAAGUUAAAAUAAUUAAAACUAAUAGCCUUCAAAGCUGUAUAUACAAGUAAACCCUUCUAAACCUUA
rnacentral:tRNA from 1 species